GACGAACGCUGGCGGCGUGCUUAACACAUGCAAGUCGAACGAUGAAGCUGGAGCUUGCUCCGGUGGAUUAGUGGCGAACGGGUGAGUAACACGUGAGCAAUCUGCCCUUCACUCUGGGAUAACUGCGGGAAACUGUAGCUAAUACCGGAUACGAGGCUUGGAGGCAUCUCCAGGUCUGGAAAGAAUUUCGGUGAAGGAUGAGCUCGCGGCCUAUCAGCUUGUUGGUGAGGUAAUGGCUCACCAAGGCGACGACGGGUAGCCGGCCUGAGAGGGUGACCGGCCACACUGGGACUGAGACACGGCCCAGACUCCUACGGGAGGCAGCAGUGGGGAAUAUUGCACAAUGGGCGAAAGCCUGAUGCAGCAACGCCGCGUGAGGGAUGAAGGCCUUCGGGUUGUAAACCUCUUUUAGCAGGGAAGAAGCGAAAGUGACGGUACCUGCAGAAAAAGCACCGGCUAACUACGUGCCAGCCGCCGCCGUAA
rnacentral:rRNA from 1 species